UAAAAGAUUUAUCGGUUUGGGGUGGGCUCGCGUCCGAUUAGGUAGUUGGUGAGGUAACGGCCCACCAAGCCGACGAUCGGUAGCCGACCUGAGAGGGUGAUCGGCCACAUUGGGACUGAGACACGGCCCAAACUCCUACGGGAGGCAGCAGUGGGGAAUAUUGGGCAAUGGAGGAAACUCUGACCCAGCAACGCCGCGUGGAGGAAGAAGGUUUUCGGAUCGUAAACUCCUGUCCUUGGAGACGAGUAGAAGACGGUAUCCAAGGAGGAAGCCCCGGUUAACUACGUGCCAGCAGCCGCGGUAAUACGUAGGGGGCAAGCGUUGUCCGGAAUAAUUGGGCGUAAAGGGCGCGUAGGCGGCUCGGUAAGUCUGGAGUGAAAGUCCUGCUUUUAAGGUGGGAAUUGCUUUGGAUACUGUCGGGCUUGAGUGCAGGAGAGGUUAGUGGAAUUCCCAGUGUAGCGGUGAAAUGCGUAGAGAUUGGGAGGAACACCAGUGGCGAAGGCGACUAACUGGACUGUAACUGACGCUGAGGCGCGAAAGUGUGGGGAGCAAACAGGAUUAGAUACCCUGGUAGUCCACACUGUAAACGAUGAAUAAUAGGUGUAGGGGGUAUCGACCCCUUCUGUGCC
rnacentral:rRNA from 1 species